UUGGGGAUUUAGCUCAGUGGUAGAGCGCUUGCCUAGGAAGCGCAAGGCCCUGGGUUCGGUCCCCAGCUCCAAA
rnacentral:tRNA from 1 species